GAAAGGUCAAAACUCUCAGCCAGGGGUAGACUACUUAGCUGUGACAGCAUCAUGUGCACAGUGAAGAGUAUUUCAUAAUGCAGCAUUGGACUGCUUUGGAAGAUGAACAGUGUCAGAUUGGAGAAAGCCUGGAACAUCGUGACAUGACAGGCCUAAAUGAUCUCUGGAAAGUGGAACACUUGGAAGAGGUUAACCACGCAGGGUCUGUUGGUGACAUCAGUCUUGUAGAUAUUUAGGAUGAGAGCUUAUAGAUUCAAACCUCCAUGCUAGCAGUUAACUUCUUCUUCUGUGUAUUUUUGGAAAAAAACAAGAUAAUCUUUUGGAAGAGAAUUCUAAGUAGGCAUUAUUAGAUAGUAGCAAAGUAAUUAUGGGUUUUGCUAUUUUAGAAGAAAUAGGAGUGUUGCAGUCUUUUCCAAGCUGCUUCACUGUUAGGGAGUUUGCUGAAACCAGCUUCCUAAGGCAUGAAUGCUUGAACAAACCUACUAGUAGAAAAACUUGUAAAAACUUGGUAAAUUAGGAAAAAAAAAAUCAGAUUACAUGCACUUAAGCAGAAGGAUGAACAAAAAUGCAAAAAAAAGAAAAAAGCACUUAAUUAUGAAGAUAAUGUCAGAUUUUCCAGUUACAGAUGGUACAACUUAUUUAGUCUCCUGCAAAGACUCAGGUGGCAGCUAUUGCCUUGUGUUCACAGCCACGGCUGACAUGCGUGGCCAGCUGCCUGCAGUUCUACCCAGCACUGCAGAUGAGCCACUCUGGGCUACCAAAUCACCCACAGUCUCAGGAAGAUGGAUGUUCUUUAUCAUCUUUCAGUCUUCGGAGGAAUUUGUUAAUGGCUUUGCGACAAUGGUUCAUCUCAGAUAUGGUUUAAAGAUGACAUCGUUAGGAGGAGGAAUAGCCAGAAGGGUUUUGGUUGCCAUUUGGUGAGUCUGGGAAGGAGCUAGAUGCCAAAAAGAGUUGUAGAAAGGAGCAGGCAUCAUCCAGACUAGUGAGAAGUGGUAGGACUACAACUUAAAGGCUUUGAGAACUGUAGAACUUAUGAUUAAAAGAAAUGCAUGGAAGUAAGCGUCUUGAAAGGCGUGCAACAAGUUUUAUGGCAUAUCUCUAACUAAGGCAAAAUAUUGAAAAUUGCCAUAGAUUUGUUUACAAGAGUAUAUUUGUAUGUGUGGGAAUCUCUGACUGAGGACAUGCCCUAUGGCAUGUUCUAGACCUGUUCUGUGCAGUGUAUCAAUUUAAUCCCUGAGGCAACUGUUUCAGCAUUAGAACAAAUAAACCAAGGUUGUAUUGCAUUUUGGAUUCAUGAACUGCUCUGGUUGCCGUGUACCAAAUUAUUUGUGGUAAAGUAAUAGAAGUAAGAGUAAGUAUCCUGGGAAGUAAAGGUUGUGUCUUGGCAUGUCUCUAAUGGAUGUGUAUGUUUAACUAGCACAUUAUCUAGUACAUUUAAUCCUUUGUGAAUAUGAGGUUUUAUUUAGGAAUUUUUCUGUUUCUCAGCAAAACUGUUGACUGCUCCCUAUAAUAAUAAAUAGACUGUUGAUAAAAUAUGCCACUGGUAUUUUGUAAAUAUAAUUAGUCUGGAAGUUCUGUUUCUUUUUGCAGUUCUACUGUUGUCUGUUGUGACCUUCUCCUCAUAGUAACAAACAUGAAAAAUACGCUUGGAAUGUACGUGAAAGUUAUUUUCGAUUGCUCUACAAAAGCCAUUGACAGUUUGUUGCAUACUGUUGCAUCUUUUUUAUUUAUUUGACCAGGACCAGGCCAAAUGUAUGUUCUAAGCCUAAAGUAUAAUCAGUUACCAGUUCAUACCUUUGUUCUUGUAUGACCCUGUUUGUCCUUUGUGUUUGUUAUAUGAGCUAUCAUACCUGCAUAUAUAUGAUUUAUGUUUUUAAUAGUUCUGACAUAAAACUAGGCCUAGUUGGCUGAAGAAGAGUUCAUAGAAAAUAUUCAAUAUAUGGAUUCUUGUGCUAAUAUGAGUGCACUGUUUCUGUCCAAGCAGUCAGGCAGCUCUGAAUCUUUCCUGGAUGUGGCUGUAAAUUUAAAUGCUUUUGAUAACAAGCACAAAGUGUGCUUGCUGUUUGUUUUCUGUUUGUAAGAAAAAAGAAUAGAGCCUUUUCAGUGUUUACCUACACAGAUGAACAUCUGCCCUUCCAGUUUUAGAUUAUUUUUGUUUUACAUUAAGGAAAAAUAGCAAUGACCAAACAUUCUGCACACACACACACAAAAUUCAGACACUUCAUAUAGCUCAUCUGAAAUACAAAAUGCUGUGGUGCAGGAGCAGGUUUGGAAACAUCAAAGUGGAAAUGACUGUGGGUCCGUGUUAUUUAAAACUUGGACCAGUGACUUGCUUUGAAUCAUGUUGCUAUCAAACGAUCUUUAAAACAUGUUUGCAAUUAUGCCAAAAUUGUGAAGUUCCUAGGUCACUUUAGCAAGGUGAAAGUCUUCUUGAGGUAUCACUCCCUUGAGAAGUUUGCAUUAGUAAUUUUCAGGUAGGCAUUAUGGAGAAUAUAUAUUUGCUCCGCAUUAGAUUAAGAGUCCUUAAGAUUAGAUGAAGAGUCCUUCAUCUCUGUGGUAGCACACGGUAUGUUUUAUUUUGUCCUAAGAGACAUGGCCAUUCUGUAAAAACUAGAUUCUCCACGAAGAGAAAACCAAAAUACUUAAUAGGCUGGACUCCCAGUACUGGAAACUGCCAUCACCGAGCCCACUGGUGCAAUCCUGUUGUGAUGUUUGUGCCCACCAUCCUGAUCUGCUGAGGUCCUAGAUGGAGCUCCGCACUGACCUGCAUGCAAUGCAAGCGUGCUUCCAGCCUUUGGCAGCCUUUCAGCAAUGAGAUUGCACCUGCGUCUUGUGAAAGUCACAUUGCACCUCUCAGGAGUAAUGCUGAAUCCUUAAGGUGGCACUGUGUGUACCAGCACUGAUGUUCUGCAAGGACUAGAAGAAACUUCUGAGGGAAGCACACUGGUCAAGGCUGCCAUGUAUGGAACUGUGAGAUUACUGACUAAACCUUACUCUCCAAAAGUCCUCAGCUCUUAAAAAUUAGCCCGCUGUUAUACAACGUGAUCCAGAACGUGUGGCUGACGCUUCGCUCGAGCUAAGCCUGCCUUUCUCAGCACUGUUGCUGUGGGCAGGAACGCGCACGAUGCUCUAUUCUGCUGCUUUGAGCCCGUCUCAAAACCACGUUCUCGCUUUCUUGGGAGCAUCGAGCAAAGGCGAUCCCCCUCUUGUGGAAGGAGGUGGAACGCCACUGCGAGUUCUAAAUUCUGCUUCCAAGCCUCCGCACGCUCGGAGCCAGACCGGACCUGGAGAAAGCCGGAGAAAGGUGUGCAGCUCUCCUUAUUUAUUGGCGUGAUGUGGGCAAGAGCACAAGUAAGGUAUCGUUAUCCGAACAAAGAUGUUUUGGUUCAGAUACAUACUGCAUCGUUACAACCUUCUCUUGUGAAGUUCUUCUCUUGUGCUGCUGUUGGUGCACAUCUAACCGAGGUGUCUGGUUCAGAAGCCUGGCGUUGAAUUUAUGGCAAUCACCAGCAAAUUGGCCUCUCUUCUGUUUCUAAAUGACUCUUUGCACUUCUAAAUUACUCUUUGCAACUCUAUAAGGAGAAAGGAUUUAUUACAACUUUAAGCCCAGUGCAUAUUCCUUUCUGAUCUCUGCAUGUAGAUGAGUGUUCUCAAACAGCCCCAGGUUUUUUCUUGCGUUGGUCUGGUGUUAUUGUUUGUUUGUUUUGUAUUUUUUCCCCCCAAUUCAAACUCUGCCCUCCCUCUGUGAGGUGUGGCCCACUGUUGGUUUUGGCUCUGUGAAAUAAACAUUUUUGAG
ensembl:lncRNA